rnacentral:rRNA from 1 species
CCUACGGGUGGCAGCAGUGAGGAAUAUUGGUCAAUGGGCGCGAGCCUGAACCAGCCAAGUCGCGUGAGGGAAGACGGUCCUAUGGAUUGUAAACCUCUUUUGUCGGGGAGCAAAAGACGCCACGCGUGGCGUUCCGAGAGUACCUGAAGAAAAAGCAUCGGCUAACUCCGUGCCAGCAGCCGCGGUACUACGGAGGAUGCGAGCGUUAUCCGGAUUUAUUGGGUUUAAGGGGUGCGCAGACGGAAGAUCAAGUCAGCGGUAAAAUUGAGGGGCUCAACCCCUUCGGGACGUUGAAACUGGUUUUCUUGAGUGAGUGAGAAGAAUGCGGAAGGCGUGUGGUAGCGGGGAAAGGC